rnacentral:rRNA from 1 species
CACGUAGGGGGCAAGCGUUGUCCGGAUUUAUUGGGCGUAAAGAGCUCGUAGGCGGUUCGGUAAGUCGGGUGUGAAACCUCCAGGCUCAACCUGGAGACGCCACCCGAUACUGCUGUGACUAGAGUGUUGCAGGGGAGACUGGAAUUCCUGGUGUAGCGGUGAAAUGCGCAGAUAUCAGGAGGAACACCGGUGGCGAAGGCGGGUCUCUGGGCAACAACUGACGCUGAGGAGCGAAAGCGUGGGGAGCGAACAGG